UUGCCUUAGUAACGGCGAGUGAAGCGGCAAAAGCUCAAAUUUGAAAUCUGACACCUUUGGUGUUCGAGUUGUAAUUUGGAGAGGCAUCUUCUGGAGGGGCCCAGCCUAUGUGCCUUGGAACAGGACGUCAUAGAGGGUGAGAAUCCCGUACUUGACUGGAUGUUCCCUCCUGUAUGUAGUGUCUUCUACGAGUCGAGUUGUUUGGGAAUGCAGCUCAAAAUGGGUGGUAAAUUUCAUCUAAAGCUAAAUAUUGGCGAGAGACCGAUAGCGCACAAGUAGAGUGAUCGAAAGAUGAAAAGCACUUUGAAAAUAGAGUCAAACAGUACGUGAAAUUGUUGAAGGGGAAGCGCUUGGGACCUAUCCUGGCCAUUGACGUUCAUCCACGCCCUCCGGGGGGCAUUGCACUCGUCUUUGGGCCGGGCCAGCAUGGGUUGGGACGGUGGGAUAAAGGCUGGGGAAAUGUGACUCCUUUAUGGAGUGUUAUAGUCCCCGGUGGCAUGCCAUCAGUCCCGACCGAGGAUCGCGCACCGGCACGGAUGCUGGGUAAAGGUCUUCAGCGACCCGUCUUGAAACACGGACCAAGGAGUCUAACGUCUAUGCGAGUGUUUGGGCUUCAAACCCUCACGCGUAAUGAAAGUGAACGGAGGUGGGAACCCCGAAAGGGGCGCACCAUCGACCGAUCCUGAUGUCUUCGGAUGGAUUUGAGUAGGAGCAUAGCUGUUGGGACCCGAAAGAUGGUGAACUAUGCCUGAAUAGGGUGAAGCCAGAGGAAACUCUGGUGGAGGCUCGCAGCGGUUCUGACGUGCAAAUCGAUCGUCAAAUUUGGGUAUAGGGGCGAAAGACUAAUCGAACCAUCUAGUAGCUGGUUCCUGCCGAG
rnacentral:rRNA from 1 species